GAAUUAUAUUUGUAUUCUAAUAGUGAAGGCUAGAAAUAAAGACAAGAUGAAAUUAAGUAAAUUAUUGCAAUUGAAUUCAUAUUAUCCUUUUAAGCCAAAAUAAAACAAAACAAAAAACAAAAAACAAAAAACAAAAACAAAAACAAAAAAAACAAAAAAACCCUUCCCCUACUCUCUUUCUCCACUUCUUCUCUUCCCAUUUUCUCUUUUCCUUCCCAUAUUCGAUCUCUUACUUUGAUCCACUCUACCUUCUCUUUGCUUUUUCCCUUACCAUCUUCUCUAUCUAUACUCUCUUCAGUUUCUCUCUUUACUCUAAUCUCAUCUCACACCUUUCACCAUUUUCUUCCUUUACUUUCUUCUAUACACUUGUACUACUUUCUCCAUAGAUCUUUUACUCGUAUUUAUCUUUUAAACUUUCAUUUUAUAGAACUCUAAACUGUGUGUAUGAGCUAUAUGCCCCAAAAAAAAAAAAAAAAAAUGCAUUGAUUUCGUACCCUAAAUGACGCUACCAACAGCCUAUUUUGCAAUGAGAUUGACAAGUUCAUCAGAGGUAGAGGUGGAGGCAACGAGCAAUUCUCUCAUUCGCAUCCAGAGAUAGACAAGUUCAUAACGUAUAACGUAUAUAAGAGACUACAGUUUCUAAUAGGCUGCACAAGUUGUCAAAGGUAUUUUCUGCAUAUAGAUUACACACUCUCUAACUCUUUAGUGAAUGUAAAUGUAACCAUCAUAUAUGUGGACUUCUAUUUAGUUUCUGUUAGAUGGAAGAAUCAAAGUAUGAUCCAAGGGUUGAAAUGGAUACAAGUGAUUUAUGAAUACGUAAGCCUUUCCACAUUUCUUUGCCUUCAGAAUAUCUGUUUUUAUGGAAACAAGAAUACUCUCUUAAUGGACACAACAACGACAAAAGUGAGAAAAAUUCUUUUUUUUUAAGGCUGGUCAAUUCAUGCAAGAUUCUCAAAAUCACCAUCUUUGAAUCCUUGUGCAGAAAGACAGCCAAUGAGACAGUGGCUUUCGGCGCUGCAAUUCCUUAUGUUUCACCCACCAUCUUGGAGGAUUCCCUCUCAUAUUCACAAGCACGUGCACGUCACUUUUGCUCUUUUGGCUGUGUGGCUUUCAUUGUGCAAUUUUAUUAUCUGAUGUUCUGUAAAAGCUUCUCUUCUUUUCUCUCUUCUCGGCCCAUGUCAACGGGCUCUUAGAAAAGGCUCAUAGUUAUGUUUCACCUAUCACACCUAUGAUCAAUAGAGAUUUGGGGCAACACCCCCACCACCAACAAUUUGUAAAAGAUUGAAUGAUUGUGAGAGGAUACUGUCCUUUGGUGAGAAGGAUGUUAACUAUCUAUCUUGUUCUAUUGGUUUACAUACUGAGUCCAGCUUUCAAGAAUGAUAGCUUUUAGGACUAAAUGGAACUAAACACGAAAUUAUGACCUACGCGAGUUUGUGUUUGGUUACUUCUUAAUAAAGUGGUCUUUAGAUGUUUGAGUGAUGAGGUUUAGACAUCCCUAUCAGAAUCUUGUCCAACUUUGUAAUGCUAUUUGUUUAUUAGUCUCUUUUUUUCUUUUUUUUUUCUUUUUUUUUAUACCCCCACGUACUAUUACUAAUCUUGUAUAACAACCGAGUUGCUGUAGUUCAAACAGGCACUUCAUGUGCGCAUGAGCAUGAGAAUUGAGAGCACAUCUUUUUCCAAGAGAACAUAUAUUUUAAUUUUCUCCCUUUGAAUAUAUGAUAUCAUUCAAUACCCCACUUCCUUUCAACAGCCAUUUACAAAUGCAAAAAUUCAUCAGCAGU